rnacentral:rRNA from 1 species
UACAGAGGGUGCUAGCGUUGUUCGGAAUCAUUGGGCGUAAAGGGCGUGUAGGCGGUUUGCUAAGUCAUGUGUGAAAUCCCUCGGCUCAACCGGGGAACGACGCAUGGAAACUGGCAAGCUAGAGUACCAAAGAGGGGGGUGGAAUUCCCGGUGUAGCGGUGAAAUGCGUAGAUAUCUGGAGGAACACCGGUGGCGAAGGCGGCAUCCUGGACCAUUACUGACACUGAAAAGCGAAAGCCAGGGGAGCAAACGGG